rnacentral:rRNA from 1 species
GAGCUUGCUCCCUGAUGUUACGGCGCGACGGGUGAGUAACACGUGGGUAACCUGCCUGUAAGACUGGGAUAACUCCGGGAAACCGGGGCUAAUACCGGAUGGUUGUCUGAACCGCAUGGUUCAGACAUAAAAGGUGGCUUCGGCUACCACUUACAGAUGGACCCGCGGCGCAUUAGCUAGUUGGUGAGGUAACGGCUCACCAAGGCGACGAUGCGUAGCCGACCUGAGAGGGUGAUCGGCCACACUGGGACUGAGACACGGCCCAGACUCCUACGGGAGGCAGCAGUAGGGAAUCUUCCGCAAUGGACGAAAGUCUGACGGAGCAACGCCGCGUGAGUGAUGAAGGUUUUCGGAUCGUAAAGCUCUGUUGUUAGGGAAGAACAAGUGCCGUUCAAAUAGGGCGGCACCUUGACGGUACCUAACCAGAAAGCCACGGCUAACUACGUGCCAGCAGCCGCGGUAAUACGUAGGUGGCAAGCGUUGUCCGGAAUUAUUGGGCGUAAAGGGCUCGCAGGCGGUUUCUUAAGUCUGAUGUGAAAGCCCCCGGCUCAACCGGGGAGGGUCAUUGGAAACUGGGGAACUUGAGUGCAGAAGAGGAGAGUGGAAUUCCACGUGUAGCGGUGAAAUGCGUAGAGAUGUGGAGGAACACCAGUGGCGAAGGCGACUCUCUGGUCUGUAACUGACGCUGAGGAGCGAAAGCGUGGGGAGCGAACAGGAUUAGAUACCCUGGUAGUCCACGCCGUAAACGAUGAGUGCUAAGUGUUAGGGGGUUUCCGCCCCUUAGUGCUGCAGCUAACGCAUUAAGCACUCCGCCUGGGGAGUACGGUCGCAAGACUGAAACUCAAAGGAAUUGACGGGGGCCCGCACAAGCGGUGGAGCAUGUGGUUUAAUUCGAAGCAACGCGAAGAACCUUACCAGGUCUUGACAUCCUCUGACAAUCCUAGAGAUAGGACGUCCCCUUCGGGGGCAGAGUGACAGGUGGUGCAUGGUUGUCGUCAGCUCGUGUCGUGAGAUGUUGGGUUAAGUCCCGCAACGAGCGCAACCCUUGAUCUUAGUUGCCAGCAUUCAGUUGGGCACUCUAAGGUGACUGCCGGUGACAAACCGGAGGAAGGUGGGGAUGACGUCAAAUCAUCAUGCCCCUUAUUGACCUGGGCUACACACGUGCUACAAUGGACAGAACAAAGGGCAGCGAAACCGCGAGGUUAAGCCAAUCCCACAAAUCUGUUCUCAGUUCGGAUCGCAGUCUGCACUCGACUGCGUGAAGCUGGAAUCGCUAGUAAUCGCGGAU